AGAGUUUGAUCCUGGCUCAGGACGAACGCUGGCGGCGUGGAUAAGACAUGCAAGUCGAACGAGAGAAUUGCUAGCUUGCUAAUAAUUCUCUAGUGGCGCACGGGUGAGUAACACGUGAGUAACCUGCCCCCGAGAGCGGGAUAGCCCUGGGAAACUGGGAUUAAUACCGCAUAGAAUCGCAAGAUUAAAGCAGCAAUGCGCUUGGGGAUGGGCUCGCGGCCUAUUAGUUAGUUGGUGAGGUAACGGCUCACCAAGGCGAUGACGGGUAGCCGGUCUGAGAGGAUGUCCGGCCACACUGGAACUGAGACACGGUCCAGACACCUACGGGUGGCAGCAGUCGAGAAUCAUUCACAAUGGGGGAAACCCUGAUGGUGCGACGCCGCGUGGGGGAAUGAAGGUCUUCGGAUUGUAAACCCCUGUCAUGUGGGAGCAAAUUAAAAAGAUAGUACCACAAGAGGAAGAGACGGCUAACUCUGUGCCAGCAGCCGCGGUAAUACAGAGGUCUCAAGCGUUGUUCGGAAUCACUGGGCGUAAAGCGUGCGUAGGCUGUUUCGUAAGUCGUGUGUGAAAGGCGCGGGCUCAACCCGCGGACGGCACAUGAUACUGCGAGACUAGAGUAAUGGAGGGGGAACCGGAAUUCUCGGUGUAGCAGUGAAAUGCGUAGAUAUCGAGAGGAACACUCGUGGCGAAGGCGGGUUCCUGGACAUUAACUGACGCUGAGGCACGAAGGCCAGGGGAGCGAAAGGGAUUAGAUACCCCUGUAGUCCUGGCAGUAAACGGUGCACGAUUGGUGUGCGGGGAAUCGACCCCCUUGCGUGCCGGAGCUAACGCGUUAAGCGUGCCG
rnacentral:rRNA from 1 species